GGAUUAGAUACCCUGGUAGUCCAUGCUGUAAACGAUGAGAACUAGACGUUGGGAGGAUAUAACCUCUUAGUGUUGAAGUUAACGCAUUAAGUUCUCCGCCUGGGGAGUACGCCGGCAACGGUGAAACUCAAAGGAAUUGACGGGGGCCCGCACAAGCGGUGGAGCAUGUGGUUUAAUUCGAUGCAACGCGAAGAACCUUACCAGCCCUUGACAUCCUGGGAGCUUGGUAGAAAUACCUUGGUGCCUUCGGGAACUCAGUGACAGGUGCUGCAUGGCUGUCGUCAGCUCGUGCCG
rnacentral:rRNA from 1 species